rnacentral:rRNA from 1 species
UACGUAGGGUGCGAGCGUUGUCCGGAAUUAUUGGGCGUAAAGAGCUCGUAGGCGGCCUGCUACGUCUGCUGUGAAAGCCCGGGGCUCAACUCCGGGUCUGCAGUGGAUACGGGCAGGCUAGAGUCCGGCAGGGGAGACUGGAAUUCCUGGUGUAGCGGUGAAAUGCGCAGAUAUCAGGAGGAACACCGGUGGCGAAGGCGGGUCUCUGGGCCGGUACUGACGCUGAGGAGCGAAAGCGUGGGGAGCGAUCCGG